rnacentral:rRNA from 1 species
UACAGAGGGUGCAAGCGUUAAUCGGAAUUACUGGGCGUAAAGCGUGCGCAGACGGUUUCGUAAGCCAGAUGUGAAAGCCCCGGGCUCAACCUGGGAAUUGCAUUUGAGACUGCGUAGCUAGGGUGUGGAAGAGGGAAGCGGAAUUUCCGGUGUAGCGGUGAAAUGCGUAGAUAUCGGAAGGAACACCAGUGGCGAAAGCGGCUUCCUGGUCCAGCACCGACGUUCAGGCACGAAAGCGUGGGGAGCAAACAGG